rnacentral:rRNA from 1 species
ACACCGGCAGCUCAAGUGGUAGCCGCUUUUAUUGGGCCUAAAGCGUCCGUAGCCGGUCUGAUAAGUCUCUGGUGAAAUCCCACAGCUUAACUGUGGGAAUUGCUGGAGAUACUAUCAUGACUCGAGGUCGGGAGAGGCUGGAGGUACUCCCAGGGUAGGGGUGAAAUCCUGUAAUCCUGGGAGGACCACCUGUGGCGAAGGCGUCCGGCGGGAGCGAACCGGACGGGGAGGGACGAAAGCCAGGGGCGCGAACCGGAUUAGAUACCCGGGUAGUCCUGGCCGUAAACGAUGUGGACUUGGUGUUGGGAUGGCUUCGAGCUGCCCCAGUGCCGAAGGGAAGCUGUUAAGUCCACCGCCUGGGAAGUACGGCCGCAAGGCUGAAACUUAAAUGAAUUGGCGGGG